GUCUUGGUGGCUCAGAUGGUAAAGAAUCUGCCUGGAAUGUGGGAGACCCUAGUUCGAUCCCUGGGUCAGGACA
rnacentral:tRNA from 1 species